UCUCUCUGGUGGGAGGAGGGGAGCAGGGAAGGGCUCCCGGGGAACCUCAUUCUGCAGAACUGGGAGGCGAGCUACUGGGAAGGGCCUAGAACUUUCUCGCCUCCUUUUUGUGCUUCUUUCACCUCAUGACCUCACCAACUCCUCCCAGCCCCUUUUCCCACUUCUCAGGGCCUGAUUCUCAGCUAGCUGCCAAGUACUGCCAAGGGUGAGCCACCAAGGGCUCAUGGUGCUGUCCCUUCGUGGGGGCAUUUUGUAUUUUGUUUCAACAAGUUUGACUCUGGAAACCCAAGAAGCUUAAGAAAAAAAAUUUUUUUUCAGAGUUCCCGUCGUGGCUCAAUGGUUAAUGAAUCUGACUAGCAUCCAUGAGGCCACAGGUUUGAUCCCUGGCCUUGCUCAGUGAGUUAAGGAUCUGGCGAUGCUGUGAGCUGUGGUAUAGGUUGCAGACACGGCUUGGAUCCUGCGUUGCUGUGGCUCUGGCGUAGCUCGGCAGCUACAGCUCUGAUUUGACCCCCUAGCCUGGGAACCUCCAUGUGCCGCGGGUGCAGCCCCCAAAAGAAAAAAAAAUUAAAUGUAUCGCUCAGAAAAAAACAAUUAAAAGUAUCACUCAGAUGGUUCAGGUGGUCACUGGAGGUCCGGUGCAGGAAAAGCCUCUGAAAAUAAGCAAGGCAUUCAAAUAAGUGAGAUGAUCGCAUCUCUGGAUUCUUCUUUUGAGUAGACACAGGUUGUUGCCGUGGAACACUGACAAGUGUCAGCCAGACCCGCUGCCCCGUAGACCGGGAAACGUGGGGUAAACGGGGAGCCUCUGUUCCGGGGGAUGUUUCUCCGCGGUGGAAGCGGGAAGCAGGUACACCUGUUAGCAGUCAGUGCUGCCGGCGCCCAGCGGCUGCCUGAGACUCAGGCCCUGAAAUGACACCGCCCACUCCUAGUCUGCCAAAGAUGAGCUCAAGGUACAGGCCUCGUUCCCUGGAGGACCCAAGAGCACUGGAACGUGAGUCACAGGGGCUGUGACCCCCUAGGCCUGCUCCUACUACUUGAUGGCCAUUCAAUCUCUUAGAGCCUUAGGUUUCUUCCCGGAGCUGGGAGGGUACCAGUGGUGGAGAAAGAGCAUCCGCAUCAGGAGGACUCCCAUUUCUCCUCCGGUCCCUUUUGGGAAGGUCUGGGGUCUAAGGGAAGGGGGUCUCCCAGUGACCUGCCUGAGUAGACAGCACAGAAAGAGUCUGGGGUGUCUCAGUGGUACUGGGUUUUCUGCGGUGUCUCUGCGGCAUAAGCGUCGAGGGGGCCGAUGCUGGGAAGGUUUGCGUUGGGUUCUGCGGGCUUUCAGGAUCGCGCUGUCCAGAGAGGAGCAUGUGUCUCUGCUUGCCUCUCAAGCUUGGGCCUUCCCCAGCACUUUCUGUCUUCUGGAAACACCUCGAAGUCUUCCGGGUUUGCUUACCUCUGCACCUCUUCACCCACAUGGCAAUUGGAGAGGGUGAUGAAUGCCAGGUGCUUCUUAGCUGGAGUCAGAAGCAAUCCUGCCUCUUUGCGCAGCUGUAAAUGCCUUAAAAGCAUUCAGACUGCUUUUUUGUCUUUGAGAAAAGCAAUACGGAGCCACCCCCGUUGGGUCUUAAGUGUCUGUCGCGGAAUGUUGCAAUCCCUGCCGAAUCGAGGCUGCCCUGGUCCAAACCAGGGCAGGGUGGAUGGUAAACUCUAUGGAUUACAUUUCCAGCAAAGUUGGAGUUUAAGAGAUUAAGGAGGAUUCUCUCCUUUGGGAAAGAUGUCUUGGUGAGGGAUUCCAGGGAUGAUCCGCUCUUGCUGGACCUAGAGUUUCCCAAGUGAACACAACUGGGUCACUGGGCUUCCUUUGUUCCCUGGACCGCGGCUGAGUAAGGGAAAAGGAAUUUCUCCUGGAGCUGGUAUUUUCCAAGGCGGUCAGCAAUGUUUGUCUCUUGGGCUGCUGAACGAGACGACGUGUGUAAAGGCAUAGGAAACAGUAUGAAGUGCUAAAAAAUAAAUACAUGAAGGAGGAAACUUGGUUAUAAAGUUGACUGAUGCAGCUUGAUGCUAGCACAGUCCCUGGGCUCUGGACGCCAGGGCCAUGUUUGAAACGGGAGGGUGUAAUUUCCCUUUCGGUCCUAUGUGUUUAAAGGAUGGAUGGGUAUUUGCACGUGGGCAGCCCAGUCCCCUGCGGGCCCAGGGCCCCUGCCAGGCCCACAGGGGGCAGACCCCACCGCCAGCCUCCCCUCUUGGCCAGCCACGCACCUGCCCUUGUUCUCCCUGUCAAAGUCUGUUCCUCCCCUGACAAGACAGCAGAAGACCUGUUUCCUGAGAAACCGUGAACUGUUGGGACAAGUCCAUCCACCCUCCUUUACAGCCAGCCUUUGCCUCUGUGGGACCUGCUUGCAGAGGAGAGAGACUGGAGCCUGUAACUCCCCAGCGAAGCAGGGGGCGGGGGCGGGUGGCCAUCCCUGCUCUGCAAGUGUGGUCUCUGGAAAGUUCCACUGGUUUAAAGGAAAACACUAAAGCCUGCUUCAGGCUCCACCUCUGGAACUAGAAAGUCCUUAAUCAAAAUGAACACGUAGGAAGUCCUCGUGUCAGCCAAUGGAUAACACACCAAAACACACAUGUUCGGGCUGGUUUGGAAUGAUGCUCAGCAGAGUGUCUCAGAGGACCCUCUGAGGACAUGGCCCUGCUUCUGCAUGGGGGACCUUAUCCAAGGGUGAGGUAUAGGGGGCUGUAGGACCUUGGCUCGGGCGCUGCUCUAGAAUAUAGUCCUGCCUUGCCUUGCAGGACAUUUAGAAAUUAUUCAGUAUGAUCUGGUGAUAUGCAAUUCACAUAACGUAAAAGUAGCCAUUUUAAAGUGAAGAAUUUAGUGGCGUUUUGUACCUUCCUAGUGUGCGAUCACCAUGUCUAUCUAGUUCCUAAACAUUUGGAACCCGUGGAAACCAUGACCCCACGUUACACGGUCCCUUCCCAUCCCCCACCCUCCACCCCGCCUCUGCCUCCGCCUCCGCCUCCGCCUCCAGUGCCCGGCAACCAUCACUCUGCUUCUUGUCUCUGUGGAUUGAUAUUUAGGUCGUAUUUUUGAGAAUCUCAAUGGCUCAAUUUGCUGAACUAAAAACCAAUCAAGACACACGAGCAUGAAAAAUAAUAGCUAUGCAUAGCAAUGUCGUUUCCUCCUUAUUUUAGUGCUUGGUAGACUUUAUAUACGUGCUCUUGUUCAGAAGCCCAAGAGGCAAGUGUUGCUGAAUGUGUUGGAAAUUAUCAGCUCCAGGAGAAAUUCCUGUUCUCUUCGGCAGUGGCGUGUCUGACACACUGGCAGAUACAGUCACUACCUUGAUUUGCUGCAUAAGGCGUGUGUUUGUUGCUCAAGUAAAGAUGAAAUAA
rnacentral:lncRNA from 1 species